rnacentral:rRNA from 1 species
AGUAACGCGUGAGGAACCUGCCUUGAAGAGGGGGACAACAGUUGGAAACGACUGCUAAUACCGCAUGAAGCAUAGGGGUCGCAUGAUCUUUAUGCCAAAGAUUUAUCGCUUCAAGAUGGCCUCGCGUCUGAUUAGCUAGUUGGCGGGGUAACGGCCCACCAAGGCGACGAUCAGUAGCCGGACUGAGAGGGUGACCGGCCACAUUGGGACUGAGACACGGCCCAA